rnacentral:rRNA from 1 species
UACGAAGGGGACUAGCGUUGUUCGGAAUUACUGGGCGUAAAGCGCGCGCAGGCGGUCUUCCAAGUCAGUGGUGAAAGCCCGGAGCUCAACUCCGGAACUGCCAUUGAAACUGUUGGACUUGAGUACGAGAGAGGUGAGUGGAAUUCCCAGUGUAGAGGUGAAAUUCGUAGAUAUUGGGAAGAACACCGGUGGCGAAGGCGGCUCACUGGCUCGUAACUGACGCUCAGGCGCGACAGCGUGGGGAUCAAACAGG